ensembl:lncRNA
GAAGAAACGUCCAGAGAGACUCGUCCAUGGACGCGACAAUGCUGGUUCUGGUACUGUGCCAUAAUGAGAAGAAACGUCCAGAGAGACUCGUCCAUGGACGCGACAAUGCUGGUUCUGGUACUGUGCCAUAAUGAGUAAGUACUGGGGCUGUUUUGGGCUCUCUUGCACCAGAUUCAUGUUGUAGCCAUCGAUGAUGGCAAACCCCUUGUAUUGUUGUGGGGGAAAGGCUGGUGUCGCUAAAGGGUUUUCAUAUUAAGACUUAGCCUUAAUGCUUUGUUUGGGUUGUCUUGAGGAUGAAUCUAUCCCGAACCUGAUUUCAUGUGAAUGAAAUUCUAUCGGAUCUGACUUCUGAAACGCAACCUAUGGUUCUUAGCAUAUCUCAGUAUGCUUUACAAGUCUAGUUUUAGUCUGUAGUCCUUUGCUAACUUCAUAGCUAACAUUAUCUAUUUUUUAAAUCUAUCCCGAACCUGAUUUCAUGUGAAUGAAAUUCUAUCGGAUCUGACUUCUGAAACGCAACCUAUGGUUCUUAGCAUAUCUCAACAUGCUAACAUGCUUUACAAGUCUAGUUUUAGUCUGUAGUCCUUUGCUAACUUCAUAGCUAACAUUAUCUAUAUUUAAAAUCUGCAAGAGUUUAACUGAAAUAUGUUUUCCCCUCAGGAAGAAACGUCCAGAGAGACUCAACCAAGGACGCGACAAUGCUGUUUCUGGUACUGUGCCAUAAUGAGAAGAAACGUCCAGAGAGACUCGUCCAUGGACGCGACAAUGCUGGUUCUGGUACUGUGCCAUAAUGAGAAGAAACGUCCAGAGAGACUCGUCCAUGGACGCGACAAUGCUGGUUCUGGUACUGUGCCAUAAUGAGUAAGUACUGGGCUUGAUGUUUUGGGCUCUCUUGCACCAGAUUCAUGUUGUAGCCAUCGAUGAUGGCAAACCCCUUGUAUUAGUGUGGGGGAAAGGCUGGUGUCGCUAAAGGGUUUUCAUAUUAAGACUUAGCCUUAAUGCUUUGUUUGGGGUUGUCUUGAGGAUGAAUCUAUCCCGAACCUGAUUUCAUGUGAAUGAAAUUCUAUCGGAUCUGACUUCUGAAACGCAAACUAUGGUUCUUAGCAUAUCUCAACAUGCUAACAUGCUUUACAAGUCUAGUUUUAGUCUGUAGUCCUGUGCUAACUUCAUAGCUAACAUUAUCUUUUUUUGAAAUCUGCAAGAGUUUAACUGAAAUAUGUUUUCCCCUCAGGAAGAAACGUCCAGAGAGACUCGUCCAUGGACUCGACAAUGCUGGUUCUGGUACUGUGCCAUAAUGAGUAAGUACUGGGGCUGUUUUGGGCUCUCUUGCACCAGAUUCAUGUUGUAGCCAUCGAUGAUGGCAAACCCCCUUGUAUGGUUGUGGGCGAAAGGCUGGUGUUGCUAAAGGGUUUUCAUAUUAAGACUUAGCCUUAAUGCUUUGUUUGGGGUUGUCUUGAGGAUGAAUCUAUCCCGAACCUGAUUUCAUGUGAAUGAAAUUCUAUCGGAUCUGACUUCUGAAACGCAACCUAUGGUUCUUAGCAUAUCUCAGUAUGCUUUACAAGUCUAGUUUUAGUCUGUAGUCCUUUGCUAACUUCAUAGCUAACAUUAUCUAUUUUUUAAAUCUAUCCCGAACCUGAUUUCAUGUGAAUGAAAUUCUAUCGGAUCUGACUUCUGAAACGCAACCUAUGGUUCUUAGCAUAUCUCAACAUGCUAACAUGCUUUACAAGUCUAGUUUUAGUCUGUAGUCCUUUGCUAACUUCAUAGCUAACAUUAUCUAUAUUUAAAAUCUGCAAGAGUUUAACUGAAAUAUGUUUUCCCCUCAGAAAGAAACGUCCAGAGAGACUCGUCCAUGGACGCGACAAUGCUGGUUCUGGUACUGUGCCAUAAUGAGUAAGUACUGGGCUUGAUGUUUUGGGCUCUCUUGCACCAGAUUCAUGUUGUAGCCAUCGAUGAUGGCAAACCCCCUUGUAAUGUUGUAGGGGAAAGGCUGGUGUCGCUAAAGGGUUUUCAUAUUAAGACUUAGCCUUAAUGCUUUGUUUGGGGUUGUCUUGAGGAUGAAUCUAUCCCGAACCUGAUUUCAUGUGAAUGAAAUUCUAUCGGAUCUGACUUCUGAAACGCAACCUAUGGUUCUUAGCAUAUCUUAUGCUUUACAAGUCUAGUUUUAGUCUGUAGUCCUUUGCUAACUUCAUAGCUAACAUUAUCUAUAUUUAAAAUCUGCAAGAGUUUAACUUAAAUAUUUUUUCCCCUCAGGAAGAAACGUCCAGAGAGACUCGUCCAUGGACGCGACAAUGCUGGUUCUGGUACUGUGCCAUAAUGAGUAAGUACUGGGCUUGAUGUUUUGGGCUCUCUUGCACCAGAUUCAUGUUGUAGCCAUCGAUGAUGGCAAACCCCUUGUAAUGUUGUAGGGGAAAGGCUGGUGUCGCUAAAGGGUUUUCAUAUUAAGACUUAGCCUUAAUGCUUUGUUUGGGGUUGUCUUGAGGAUGAAUCUAUCCCGAACCUGAUUUCAUGUGAAUGAAAUUCUAUCGGAUCUGACUUCUGAAACGCAACCUAUGGUUCUUAGCAUAUCUUAUGCUUUACAAGUCUAGUUUUAGUCUGUAGUCCUUUGCUAACUUCAUAGCUAACAUUAUCUAUAUUUAAAAUAUGCAAGAGUUUAACUUAAAUAUGUUUUUCCCUCAGGAAGAAACGUCCAGAGAGACUCGUCCAUGGACGCGACAAUGCUGGUUCUGGUACUGUGCCAUAAUGAGUAAGUACUGGGCUUGAUGUUUUGGGCUCUCUUGCAACAGAUUCAUGUUGUAGCCAUCGAUGAUGGCAAACCCCUUGUAAUGUUGUAGGGGAAAGGCUGGUGUCGCUAAAGGGUUUUCAUAUUAAGACUUAGCCUUAAUGCUUUGUUUGGGGUUGUCUUGAGGAUGAAUCUAUCCCGAACCUGAUUUCAUGUGAAUGAAAUUCUAUCGGAUCUGACUUCUGAAACGCAACCUAUGGUUCUUAGCAUAUCUCAUGCUUUACAAGUCUAGUUUUAGUCUGUAGUCCUUUGCUAACUUCAUAGCUAACAUUAUCUAUUUUUAAAAUCUGCAAGAGUUUAACUUAAAUAUGUUUUCCCCUCAGAAAGAAACGUCCAGAGAGACUCGUCCAUGGACGCGACAAUGCUGGUUCUGGUACUGUGCCAUAAUGAGUAAGUACUGGGCUUGAUGUUUUGGGCUCUCUUGCACCAGAUUCAUGUUGUAGCCAUCGAUGAUGGCAAACCCCUUGUAUUAGUGUGGGGGAAAGGCUGGUGUCGCUAAAGGGUUUUCAUAUUAAGACUUAGCCUUAAUGCUUUGUUUGGGGUUGUCUUGAGGAUGAAUCUAUCCCGAACCUGAUUUCAUGUGAAUGAAAUUCUAUCGGAUCUGACUUCUGAAACGCUACCUAUGGUUCUUAGUAGUGCUGUCAAACGAUUAAAAUAUUUAAUCGCGAUUAAUCGCAUUUAUGUCAUAGUUAACUCAAAAUGAAUCGCGAUUAAUCGCAAAUUUUUAUUUAUUCUAAAUGUCCCUUCGUUUAUUUAUUUUUUCCAUCUUUUUAUUCUUAUUUUAAUGCCUUUAUCAACAUGGAAAAGUGGAUUGGCUUGCUUUAUGCAAAUGUUUUAUUUUAUUGAAAACCAACAUUACCAAACAGGGCGGUACAAAAUAAAAUUAUAAAGUGCACAUUUCA